AACGUUUCCGAUUUUGGUUCUGUUGUUAGGGAUUUUACUUGUGACGUUAUUUAAGUUAUGACGUCAUGUUCAAUGUAAACAAAAUAACACAAUGCAUCAGGUAAUGUUUAUUCAUAUCAAAGACAAAGAAUGAUUAAAAAUGAAAUAUUGGUAUUGUGUUCCUAUAUUUUACUAGACUAAUCAAAGUCUCACGACAACAAGACCGGAAAAAGGAAGUAGAUUUCUGCGUUCUGCGCAGAUCCGGAAAUUAAAAAACACGACAAAAAAAAAUUGAACGAUUUUGAGUUCAUUAGUAC
rnacentral:lncRNA from 1 species